CGCCGUCGUCGUUUUGCCGACCACGGCCACGUAGCUGCUGCCGUCGACACCUCUCGCCACGCCAGCGCCCACGCGUUGCCAUCGCAUAUGCGACCUCACCUCGAACCGACAUGAAGCAGAGCUCAGCCAAGUCGUCAUCUCUCCCUCUUCGUCAUUCACCCGGCCGCCGCCUCUCUUCACCGCCUCUGCCCUCUCUCUCCAAUCCCUCCUCUCCCGCUGCCGACACCCCGGAGGAAAGUGAAGCUCUCGAUCCUCUUUUCUCCUUCCCAGAAGCCUCCCCAAGCUCGCGCCGGUGACACCGCCGGUCACAGUGCAGCCGCCGGCACCGUUCUUGAGAAAUUCGGCGGCCUCGUUGUCUCUUCUUCCAAAUCAAGAAGAGCAGGUCUACGUCAAGGUUGCUCGUGUUAGGGUCGCUUCCUUCGCUCAGGCUCGCCUGUGGUGUUAUUGGGUCUUCUGCUUGCUGCUUGGGUGGUCUUUUCAAAAGCUAGGCCGACGUACCAUAUUUCCGCUGCUAAGUACUGAUGAGUAUCAUAACAUACAUGGACGGGAAGUAGCACCCUAUUACUCGACACUUACACACACCUCCAACUCUAAUUUAGUUUCAAUAUAUUACGACAGAUUACAUAGUGAUUAGAUGAUCUCAUAUAUGUGACUCCAUGAAGUUUCUGAUGUAGUGCUUUUUGCGUGUUUUGUGUAGCACACCAGGUUGGUGAAAACCCAGGGUGUUACAGAUUGGUCCUUCUAACACUGGUUCAAUUUGUGGACUUACCAUCGUUAUAUCCUUGGUGGAGAUGUCCUCGUCACCUCUCAAUACAAUUUUCUCUUCUGAUAUCUCUCGCACGAAGAACCACCACAAAGAGAUUUGGGAAGGAUUAUUUGGCCUUGGAUAGGUCUAGUGCCCAAACUUAACUGCUAAGAAUGGAGAAAUAUGCGAAAUGUAAAUACUCAAGCCCGAAAGGCUUGCAAUUAUUCAUAGAUUUGGGAUUGAAACGUCAGGUUCAGUGAGAUCAAAACUUUUGGUUAAUCUCCUUGGUCAAACAUAGAGUCUUGACCAGUACCUUCAGUACCUAAGACUAGAACUUAUACUCCUCCUUAACCA